UUCCGAAGGGGCAUACCUGUUCGAGCGUCAUUACACCUCUCAAGUAUAUCUUGAUGUUGGGCCAUGCCUGGAGGCAAGCCUAAAAAACAGCGAUGGUCACAACGAACCACGGGCGCACAGAUGUCGCUAAGUUGGGGAGAUGGGAUCAGUAAAUUUCAAAUGUUGACCUCGGAUCAGGUAGGAUUACCCGCUGAACUUAA
rnacentral:misc_RNA from 1 species